rnacentral:rRNA from 1 species
CCGGAUCUCAGAUCAAGUAAGAUUACCCGCCGAAUUUAAGCAUAUAAUUAAGCGGAGGAAAAGAAACUAACUAGGAUUCCCUCAGUAACGGCGAGUGAAGCGGGAUGAGCUCAGGAUGUAAAUCUGCGCUAUUAAAGCGCCGAAUUGUGGUCUGUAGACUUUGGUGUUAUCUGCCGGGCCAAGUUCCUUGGAAAAGGACAGCUGAGAGGGUGAGACUCCCGUCCGCCUGGUAGAGUGAGCCUUUGUCAAAGAGUCGAGUUGUUUGGGAUUGCAGCUCUAAUUUGGUGGUAAAUUCCAUCUAAAGCUAAAUAUUGGUGGGAGACCGAUAGCGUACAAGUACCGUGAGGGAAAGAUGCAAAGAACUUUGAAAAGAGAGUUAAAGAGUACCUGAAAUUGCUGAAACGGAAGCGAAGGAAACCAGUGUUUGUUUGUUCAUAUUUCCCUGACCACUUGUGGUUUGGGCGCUGUGGGCUUGCGUCGGUUUGCUUUGGUUAAUCCCUUUGGAAGAGCGCAGUCAGAGUUGAUGUCUGUUGCUAGCACUGGGUUUGACUUGAGUAGACGAAAUGGUUUUCUUUACCCGUCUUGACACGCAGCCCCCGAGCGGGGGAU